AUUGAACGCUGGCGGCAUGCCUUACACAUGCAAGUCGAACGAUGAAGCCGGAGCUUGCUCUGGUGAAUUAGUGGCGAACGGGUGAGUAACACGUGAGUAACCUGCCCUUGACUCUGGGAUAACUGCGGGAAACUGUAGCUAAUACCGGAUACGACCCUCGGAGGCAUCUCCUGGGGGUGGAAAGAAUUUCGGUCAAGGAUGGACUCGCGGCCUAUCAGCUAGUUGGUGAGGUAAGGGCUCACCAAGGCGACGACGGGUAGCCGGCCUGAGAGGGUGACCGGCCACACUGGGACUGAGACACGGCCCAGACUCCUACGGGAGGCAGCAGUGGGGAAUAUUGCACAAUGGGCGCAAGCCUGAUGCAGCAACGCCGCGUGAGGGAUGACGGCCUUCGGGUUGUAAACCUCUUUUAGUAGGGAAGAAGCGAAAGUGACGGUACCUGCAGAAAAAGCACCGGCUAACUACGUGCCAGCAGCCGCAGUAA
rnacentral:rRNA from 1 species